rnacentral:rRNA from 1 species
AGUGGCGAACGGGUGAGUAACACGUAGGAAUCUACCCUUAAGACGGGGACAACCCAGGGAAACUUGGGCUAAUACCGGAUGAGAGUGCGAGAGAUUGCAUUUAAAAGGAUGGCGAAAGUUGUCGCUUAGGGAUGAGCCUGCGGUCUAUUAGUUAGUUGGUGAGGUAAGAGCUCACCAAGGCGAUGAUAGAUAGGCGGCCUUAACGGGUGGUCGCCCACACUGGGAUUGAGAUACGGCCCAGACUCCUACGGGAGGCAGCAGUCGAGAAUAGUCUACAAUGGCCGGAAGGCUGAUAGUGCGACGCCGCGUGAACGAGGGAGCCCUUCGGGGUGUAAAGUUCUUUUCUAUACGAGCAGUGCUAUAUAUAUGGAUAGUAUAUAUAGAGGGAUAGUAGUAUAGGAAUAAGCAACGGCUAACUCCGUGCCAGCAGCCGCGGUAACACGGGGGUUGCGAGCGUUGUCCGGAAUUACUAGGCGUAAAGGGCAGGUAGGCGGAUCUACGAGUUUUUUGUUAAAGGCUACGGCUCAACUGUAGUAGAGCAGGAGAUACUGUAGGUCUGGAAUGCGGUAGGGGAAGACAGAAUUCCUGGUGUAGCGGUGGAAUGCGCAGAGAUCAGGAGGAAUACCGAAGGCGAAGGCAGUCUUCUAGGCCGUAAUUGACGCUUAACUGCGAAGGUGUGGGAUCAAACAGGAUUAGAUACCCUGGUAGUCCACACAGUAAACGAUAAUCACUAGAUGUCGGGUUCUAGAUGGAUUCGGUGUCGGACUAACGCGAUAAGUGAUUCGCCUGGGGAGUACGAUCGCAAGGUUGAAACUCAAAGGAAUUGACGGGGGCCCGCACGAGCGGUGGAGCAUGUGGUUUAAUUCGAGGCAACGCGAAGAACCUUACCCGGUUUUGACAUCCACGGGAGGCUUCAGAGAUGGAGCUGUGCCGGCGUAAGCUGGAGCCGUGAGACAGGUGCUGCAUGGCUGUCGUCAGCUCGUGUCGUGAGAUGUUGGGUUAAGUCCCGCAACGAGCGCAACCCUUGCCUUCAGUUACCAUCAUUAAGUUGGGGACUCUGGAGGGACCGCUGCGGUAACAACGCAGAGGAAGAUGGGGACGACGUCAAGUCAUCAUGGUCCUUAUGGCCGGGGCUACACACGUGCUACAAUGGCAGUUACAGAGGGAUGCGAUUCAGUAAUGAGGAGCGAAACUCAGAAAACUGCCGCAGUUCGGAUUGAGGUCUGCAACUCGGCCUCAUGAAGUCGGAAUCGCUAGUAAUCGCGCAACAUCAUGGCGCGGUGAAUACGUUCCCGGGCC